rnacentral:rRNA from 1 species
GAUGAACGCUGGCGGCGUGCCUAAUACAUGCAAGUCGAGCGAACAGACGAGGAGCUUGCUCCUCUGACGUUAGCGGCGGACGGGUGAGUAACACGUGGAUAACCUACCUAUAAGACUGGGAUCACUUCGGGAAACCGGAGCUAAUACCGGAUAAUAUAUUGAACCGCAUGGUUCAAUAGUGAAAGACGGUUUUGCUGUCACUUAUAGAUGGAUCCGCGCCGCAUUAGCUAGUUGGUAAGGUAACGGCUUACCAAGGCAACGAUGCGUAGCCGACCUGAGAGGGUGAUCGGCCACACUGGAACUGAGACACGGUCCAGACUCCUACGGGAGGCAGCAGUAGGGAAUCUUCCGCAAUGGGCGAAAGCCUGACGGAGCAACGCCGCGUGAGUGAUGAAGGUCUUCGGAUCGGAAAACUCUGUUAUUAGGGAAGAACAAAUGUGUAAGUAACUAUGCACGUCUUGACGGUACCUAAUCAGAAAGCCACGGCUAACUACGUG